rnacentral:tRNA from 1 species
UGCGGUUUAGCUCAGUGGUAGAGCGUUCCCCUGAUAAGGGAGAGGUCGGUGGUUCGAACCCACCAUCCGCAACCA